AACAACAGCUGCGUGCCAUGCC
rnacentral:miRNA from 1 species